AUUGAACGCUGGCGGCAUGCCUUACGCAUGCAAGUCGAACGGCAGCACGGGUGCUUGCACCUGGUGGCGAGUGGCGAACGGGUGAGUAAUACAUCGGAACAUGUCCUGUAGUGGGGGAUAGCCCGGCGAAAGCCGGAUUAAUACCGCAUACGAUCCACGGAUGAAAGCGGGGGACCUUCGGGCCUCGCGCUAUAGGGUUGGCCGAUGGCUGAUUAGCUAGUUGGUGGGGUAAAGGCCUACCAAGGCGACGAUCAGUAGCUGGUCUGAGAGGACGACCAGCCACACUGGGACUGAGACACGGCCCAGACUCCUACGGGAGGCAGCAGUGGGGAAUUUUGGACAAUGGGCGAAAGCCUGAUCCAGCAAUGCCGCGUGUGUGAAGAAGGCCUUCGGGUUGUAAAGCACUUUUGUCCGGAAAGAAAUCCUUGACUCUAAUACAGUCGGGGGAUGACGGUACCGGAAGAAUAAGCACCGGCUAACUACGUG
rnacentral:rRNA from 1 species